CCUACGGGAGGCAGCAGUGAGGAAUAUUGGUCAAUGGCCGGAAGGCUGAACCAGCCAAGCCGCGUGAAGGACGAAGGUGCCAAGCAUUGUAAACUUCUUUUGUCAAGGGACAAAAUCAGGCUCGAGAGCCUGACCGAGGGUACUUGAAGAAAAAGCAUCGGCUAACUCCGUGCCAGCAGCCGCGGUAAUACGGAGGAUGCGAGCGUUAUCCGGAUUUAUUGGGUUUAAAGGGUGCGUAGGCGGGCUGUUAAGUCAGCGGUAAAAGCCCGGGGCUCAACCUCCAAAUUGCAUUUGAAACUGUUUUUCUUGAGUACUGGAGAGGCAGACGGAAUUCCUUGUGUAGCGGUGAAAUGCGUAGAUAUAAGGAGGAACACCAGUGGCGAAGGCGGUCUGCUGGACAGCAACUGACGGUGAGGCGCGAAAGCGUGGGGAGCAAACAGGAUUAGAUACCCGUGUAGUC
rnacentral:rRNA from 1 species